rnacentral:rRNA from 1 species
CACCGGCGGCUCGAGUGGUAACCGCUGUUAUUGGGUCUAAAGGGUCUGUAGCCUGCCGGCUAAGUCUCUUGGGAAAUCUGGCAUCUCAAGUGUCAGGCUGCCAGGGGAUACUGGUCGGCUUGGGACCGGGAGAGGUGAGAGGUACCUCAGGGGUAGGGGUGAAAUCUUGUAAUCCUUGAGGGACCACCAGUGGCGAAGGCGUCUCACCAGAACGGAUCCGACGGCAAGGGACGAAAGCUAGGGGCACGAACCGG